UACGUAGGGGGCAAGCGUUGUCCGGAUUUAUUGGGCGUAAAGAGCGUGUAGGCGGCUGGGUAGGUCCGUUGUGAAAACUCGAGGCUCAACCUCGAGACGCCGAUGGAAACCCUCCAGCUAGAGUCCGGAAGAGGAGAGUGGAAUUCCUGGUGUAGCGGUGAAAUGCGCAGAUAUCAGGAAGAACACCGGUGGCGAAGGCGGGUCUCUGGGCCGAUACUGACGCUGAGGAGCGAAGGCGUGGGGAGCGAACAGG
rnacentral:rRNA from 1 species